UACAGAGGCCCCAAGCGUUACUGAGAAUCACUGGGUUUAAAGGGUGCGUAGGUGGCGCGUUAAGUCCGUUGUGAAAUCCCUGGGCUCAACCCAGGAAAUGCUUCGGAUACUGGCGUGCUUGAGGCUAGUAGGGGUCACUGGAACUGACGGUGGAGCGGUGAAAUGCGUAGAUAUCGUCAGGAACGCCAAUGGUGAAGACAGGUGACUGGGCUAGAUCUGACACUGAGGCACGAGAGCGUGGGGAGCGAACGGG
rnacentral:rRNA from 1 species